CUGGCGGCGUGCCUAAUACAUGCAAGUCGAACGCACUCUCGUUUAGAUUGAAGGAGCUUGCUCUGAUUGAUAAACAUUUGAGUGAGUGGCGGACGGGUGAGUAACACGUGGGUAACCUGCCCUAAGUGGGGGAUAACAUUUGGAAACAGAUGCUAAUACCGCAUAAAACCUAACACCGCAUGGUGUAGGGUUGAAAGAUGGUUUCGGCUAUCACUUUAGGAUGGACCCGCGGUGCAUUAGUUAGUUGGUGAGGUAAAGGCUCACCAAGACCGUGAUGCAUAGCCGACCUGAGAGGGUAAUCGGCCACACUGGGACUGAGACACGGCCCAGACUCCUACGGGAGGCAGCAGUAGGGAAUCUUCCACAAUGGACGAAAGUCUGAUGGAGCAACGCCGCGUGAGUGAAGAAGGUUUUCGGAUCGUAAAACUCUGUUGUUGGAGAAGAAUGUAUCUGAUAGUAACUGAUCAGGUAGUGACGGUAUCCAACCAGAAAGCCACGGCUAACUACGUG
rnacentral:rRNA from 1 species